rnacentral:rRNA from 1 species
CGAGGGGUCCUUCAGUUCGGCUGGCUUCCACACAGGUGCUGCAUGGCUGUCGUCAGCUCGUGUCGUGAGAUGUUGGGUUAAGUCCCGCAACGAGCGCAACCCUUGUCCAUAGUUACUAACGCGUAGUGGCGAGAACUCUAUGGAGACUGCCGGUGAUAAACCGGAGGAAGGUGGGGAUGACGUCAAGUCCUCAUGGCCUUUAUGUCCAGGGCUACACACGUGCUACAAUGGACGGUACAAAGAGUCGCAAAACCGCGAGGUGGAGCUAAUCUCAAAAAGCCGUUCUCAGUUCGGAUUGCUCUCUGCAACUCGAGAGCAUGAAGCUGGAAUCGCUAGUAAUCGCGGAUCAGCACGCCGCGGUGAAUACGUUCCCGGGCCUUGUACACACCGCCCGUCACAUCACGAAAGUGGACCAUACUAGAAGCCGGUGGGCUAACCGCAAGGGAGCAGCCGUCCAAGGUAUAGUUCAUGAUUGGGGUGAAGUCGUAACAAGGUAGCCGUAA